rnacentral:rRNA from 1 species
GACGAACCGUGCAAACGUUAUUCGGAAUCACUGGGCAUAAAGGGCGCGUAGGCGGCUUUCUAAGUCAGGGGUGAAAUCCGGCAACUCAACUGUCGCAGUGCCUUUGAUACUGGAGAGCUCGAGGGAGGUAGGGGUCUGUGGAACUUCCGGUGGAGCGGUGAAAUGCGUUGAUAUCGGAAGGAACGCCGGUGGCGAAAGCGACGGACUGGAUCUCUUCUGACGCUGAGGCGCGAAAGCCAGGGGAGCAAACGGG